GCAAACUUGUCAUUUAGAGGAAGUAAAAGUCGUAACAAGGUCUCCGUUGGUGAACCAGCGGAGGGAUCAUUACAAGAAGCGCCGCGAGGCUGCUUUACAACCAUAGCGAACCAAUCCGUCAGCGUUGCUUCGGCGGGAGAGACGCCCCGGGCCCACGCCCAGGAGCGCCGUGGCGGCCUGCGCGCCCAACUCUUCAGUGGGUGGGGAGCCGGCCGCCGCCCGCCGGAGGUCCAAAACUCUUCUGUAACCUCUGUGGAAUCUCUGAGUACUAGCAAAUAAAUCAAAACUUUCAACAACGGAUCUCUUGGCUCUGGCAUCGAUGAAGAACGCAGC
rnacentral:misc_RNA from 1 species